rnacentral:rRNA from 1 species
GACGAACGCUGGCGGCGUGCCUAAUACAUGCAAGUCGAGCGAAGUUUUUCUGGUGCUUGCCCUAGAAAAACUUAGCGGCGAACGGGUGAGUAACACGUAAAGAACCUGCCUCAUAGACUGGGACAACUAUUGGAAACGAUAGCUAAUACCGGAUAACAGUAUUUCUCGCAUGAGAGAUAUUUAAAAGUUGGUUAUGCUAACACUAUGAGAUGGCUUUGCGGUGCAUUAGCUAGUUGGUGGGGUAAAGGCCCACCAAGGCGACGAUGCAUAGCCGACCUGAGAGGGUGAUCGGCCACACUGGGACUGAGACACGGCCCAGACUCCUACGGGAGGCAGCAGUAGGGAAUCUUCCGCAAUGGGCGAAAGCCUGACGGAGCAACGCCGCGUGAGUGAAGAAGGAUUUCGGUUCGUAAAGCUCUGUUGUUAGGGAAGAAUGAAUAUGUAGUAACUAUACAUGUAAGAGACGGUACCUAACCAGAAAGCCACGGCUAACUACGUG